AUACGUAGGGGGCGAGCGUUGUCCGGAAUGAUUGGGCGUAAAGGGCGCGUAGGCGGCCCGGUAAGUCUGGAGUGAAAGUCCUGUUUUUAAGAUGGGAAUUGCUUUGGAUACUGUCGGGCUUGGGUGCAGGAGAGGUAAGUGGAAUUCCCAGUGUAGCGGUGAAAUGCGUAGAGAUUGGGAGGAACACCAGUGGCGAAGGCGACUUACUGGACUGUAACUGACGCUGAGGCGCGAAAGUGUGGGGAGCAAACAGGAUUAGAUACCCUGGUAGUCCACACUGUAAACGAUGAAUGCUAGGUGUAGGGGGUAUCGACCCCUUCUGUGCCGCAGUCAACACAAUAAGCAUUCCGCCUGGGGAGUACGGCCGCAAGGUUGAAACUCAAAUGAAUUGACGGGG
rnacentral:rRNA from 1 species